CAUAAGACUCUCGGCAACGGAUAUCUCGGCUCUUGCAUCGAUGAAGAACGUAGCAAAAUGCGAUACCUGGUGUGAAUUGCAGAAUCCCGUGAACCAUCAAGUUUUUGAACGCAAGUUGCGCUCGAGGCCUUUUGGCUAAGGGCACGUCUGUCUGGGCGUCACGC
rnacentral:rRNA from 2 species